GUGUUCUUGGGCCAUACGGAAGCGGCUAUUCCAGCUGGGUACUGGGUGGUAUUGACCGUUCCGUUCAGGACGGAAUGGAUAUA
rnacentral:tRNA from 1 species